UUCUAUGUCUACAUAUAGAAAUAUGUGACUUCAUAAAGAUAGAUGUUUUACAGCAACAUCAUUUACAAUAGCAAAAUACUGUAGAAUCCUGGGAGUUCCUUUGUGGUGCAAUGGGUUAAGGACCUGAUGUCACUACAGCAGCUCUGGUCGCUGCUGUAGCAUUGUUUGAUCCCUGAAUCCUAAAUGCUCAUCAGUAGUGGAAUGAUUAAAUUUUGUCAUGCACUUACCAUGCAUUCAUUUAAAAGAAGGUAGUUUUGUAUGUACAGGUCAUAAUAGUUAAGAAUGCAGACUCUGGAUUCCUACUGCCUGGGUUCAAAUCCUACUUCACCACUUCCUGGUUUGUGGCACUUUAGAUAUGUCCUUCAACCAUCCUGUGAAUAAAAAUCCCCACUUUAUAAGAUUAUUGUAAGGAUUAAAUGAACUUAUCCAAGUGAAGCACUUUUUUAUUUUUAUUUUUUUGGCCUCACUUGCAGCAUGUGGAAAUUCCUGGGCCAGGGAAGGAAACUGCAAUGCAGUUGUGGCCUGCACCACAGCUGGGGCAAUGCCAGAUCUUUAACCCACCUGUGCCACAAGGGAAUUUCCUAAAACACUUGCCUGAAAUUGCCUGGCACAAUUAGUAUUAGCUGUUAUCAUUACCUUAUAUAGAAAGACACCUGUGAUACGUUGUUUGGUGAAAAAGUCAAGUUACAUAAUAAUAUGUAUACUAGGAUUCCAUUUUUGUCAAAGCAAAUUUUGUGUGUCUAUACCUAUAUGUAAUUUGCAUGUCUAGGUCUCUGGAAUUUCUAUAUAGGAGGCAUUUAGAAGUUGAUAACUGGUCUUCUCUGGAAGUUAAUAUUGCAACUAACUUUUUUUUUUAAACUUAGAUUCUAUACUUUUGCAGGGUGGUUUUAGGAGACUCUGUUGGAGGUUAUGGGAAGUCAAAGUUUCCUCAAACUAGGCCGUGGUGCAGCCAUUAUACAUCCAUGGAAAUGGUCAGGAAAGGUUGCAGGCACCAAACUGCUAACAGGGAUGAUUUCUAGAGUAGGAUGAGGGGAUGGUGGGUAGGGAGGUGGGGACCUUUCCUUUUCCACUUACUUAUUGUGUUGUUGGCAAAUAGUUACUGUGUAUUGAUUUUGUGUCAACAUCAAAAUGUCCUCAAAAAGAGGGAUUGGUUUACUUCAUGUGCUAUGAAGUCAUUAACAAGAACAGUGGCGGUGGUGCCAUUUUCAGAAUUAAUGGAGGAAUAAUUAUGGGGGAAAAUUCUGAUACAGAAUGUUAUCAUGAGUCUGAACCCCCUUCUCAGUUAUUUUUGGGUCUGUAUAUGCACCUGCACAGAGACAAGGCCUCAGUGAAUAUACACUCACUAUGCCUGUUAACAAAAUAGUUUUCUCUGGGGAAUGGAUGGUUGGAGUGGGAGGAAGACCUUUCACUUUUUUUUGGCCAUGCAGGUGGACUGCAGAAGUUCAACACCUGCCACAGCAGUAA
rnacentral:lncRNA from 1 species